GAUGAACGCUGGCGGCGUGCCUAAUACAUGCAAGUCGAGCGAACGGACGAGAAGCUUGCUUCUCUGAUGUUAGCGGCGGACGGGUGAGUAACACGUGGAUAACCUACCUAUAAGACUGGGAUAACUUCGGGAAACCGGAGCUAAUACCGGAUAAUAUUUUGAACCGCAUGGUUCAAAAGUGAAAGACGGUCUUGCUGUCACUUAUAGAUGGAUCCGCGCUGCAUUAGCUAGUUGGUAAGGUAACGGCUUACCAAGGCAACGAUGCAUAGCCGACCUGAGAGGGUGGUCGGCCACACUGGAGCUGAGACACGGUCCUGACUCCUACGGGAGGCAGCAGUAGGGAAUCUUCCGCAAUGGGCGAAAGCCUGACGGAGCAACGCCGCGUGAGUGAUGAAGGUCUUCGGAUCGUAAAACUCUGUUAUUAGGGAAGAACAUAUGUGUAAGUAACUGUGCACAUCUUGACGGUACCUAAUCAGAAAGCCACGGCUAACUACGUG
rnacentral:rRNA from 1 species